GCGUCCUCAGCUGAGGAAACAUGCUUGGCAGGCAAAAGGUCGAGCGCCUUCCCUUCCGGCACAGGCAUGGUCCUGGCAGCGCUGGUAGACGAUUCUAACUGCUGGCGGCUAAAACCAGAAGCAUAAUUGGUCAUCAAAGAGACUCGGGCGCAGUGGUGCAACUCGUGGUGCGGUGCACUGUAUUAUUAUUAUUCCCACUCCCACCAAUCGGAGAUGAGUUCGAGGACAGUACCUGUUCGUCGCCGGAAGUCGUCGGGGACACCGUUCUCACCGCCGGUGCCGCCACCGCCACCGUUACCGCGUUCGCUGUGGUUACUGCUGCCGCCGCCGGUGCCGGCAAUAUUUUCCGGCGCUGUAUGUCGCGGAGAAGACCUCUCUCGCCUCGCCGGAAGCAGUCGUUAGCGAAUUCCCAACGGUCAGGGACAACCUUCCGAAAUCCCUGCACAUGAGAAAACGCACAUCGGUAAUCCGUUUUCUGCGCUGAAAAAAAGAGGAAGAAAAAAAAAAGGGGCUGGCGGUGGUUUACAUAGGUGUUAAGCUGACGGACGAAACUAGAAAAGUUGUUGUGCUUGAAGUACUUGGGAAGCAAAUCCCGUGCGAAUUCGGCGGGUCGCCAAACGAUGAAGCUGGUGCCAUCUUCGUUCCAGGAAAUUAGGUCAUCCGCGGCGGGAUCGUCGACGAGCUGGUAGGUCUUUGUGAGAAACGGCGUGGGAAUGGAUCUCUGGGAGUCGGAGGGCGCUGAUUCACCGGUUUGCUCGGCUGGUAAUGGCGCCAUCAGAUCUGGAAGUGAACCUAGGUAACUAAGCAGUUUUGUCCGGCUCCAAGUUUCAUUAGAAAAAACUAGUUGCUCUAAGUGUUGUAAUUGGGUGGGUUUGGUUGGAUCAGGUAGAUUACAUACAUCUAAAAGUAGGAAAUAAGAAAGGUAAGGUAUGUAUCAAAAAAAGUAUAUAUGGUGAAAGAGAAGAAUAUUAAUAAGCGAAGAAGAAGAAUUAUUUGGUUACCUUGAUCUGGGUGAGGGUGAGGGUGAGGGUGAGGGUGAGGCGGCGAAGGGAGAAGCGGCGGUUGAGAUGGAGAGUUUCUAGAAGUUUCGAGUAAAAGGAUGGAGAGGAUGGAUAGGUAAGAAAAGGGGCGUCCGUGGGUAGGAGAAUGAAAGGGAAAUUAGAAAAGAAAAAAGAGAGGUGGGGCCCAGCCCACAUAAGAAGGCGCUAGAAGAAAAGAAAGGGCGGAGCUGUGAUCCAGCCGCUGCUUCAUCCGAAUAUGGCUUUCUACCGUUGUUUUCCUUUCACUUUCCAGAACCUUCCUUCUCCUUCCUUUCUUUCUUUUUUUAUUUUAUUUCUUUCCCUUUUAAUUUUCUCCAACGUUAUCCGAUUAACACGUGUUGCAUUUCUUUA